CUCUCGCGCCCGGACAGUUUUCCGAUUUUUGACUCACAUAAACACUGUGCUGGGUCAGAGUCUGUUAACUACCUUUCUCCAACCAGCAGCACACGGGACGCAGCGGAGUGGAGCUUACCAGGCUCUGCUCUGCAGAAAAGACAAGACAGCUCCUAGGUAACACACCACCACGUCAGGUCGCCGAAGGUCCGUCUCUGUGACGUCGCCAGAGGCCCGCUCCUGUGACGUUGCUAGAGGCGCACCCCUGUGACAUUGCCAGAGGCACAUCGCUGUGACGUCAUAGAGGCCCGCCCCUCGUGUGGAGCCGGUUGGAAGUCGAAGCGGGGCUGCUGGGUCUUCCAGGAGUGCGCAUGCCCGGGCGGGUGACGGAAGCUGCUGCAGAGCCCGCACUUCUGCAUUGACAGGCUCCGGCCUGGCUGCAGUCACCUAUAAGCCCAGAAGACGACUUUUAAGAUUUCCCAAUCUGCAGGGCUGGGAGCAGCAGGGACCCAAUGCAGCUAGCAGGAGCUGCACACCAGCCUCCCAGCGCCUGGUGGGCACGAGCGCAAGGUCGCGCAGAAGAAGCUCCUCAAUGGCCUGUGUAAGGGCUACCGGCGCCUCUGCUACACUGGCAACGUAUUUGCCUUGCCUCAGCCUGGGUUCGUGCGACCCCCAACACCUUUCCCAGCCAGGGCCCCAGGGACCCCAGGAGCGUCCUUCACCGCUGCUCAUCCUGGACAGGAUGCCAACCCUGAGGCUGCCUCCCAUUAAGGAGUUGCACCCCCCACCCCAGCUUGACCUUUGAAUGCCAUCGCAAUAGCGUUAAAGCCUUUGCAACUUUUUAGGCUGGAGUGCAAUGGCACCAUCUUGGCUCACUGCAAACUCCGUCUGCUGGUUUCAAGCGAUUCUCCUACUUCAGGCUCCCGAAUAGCUGCGAUUAUAGGCAUGCAUCACUGCAGGCCAGAUCCUGACAAAUCCUCCAUGGACCAGCAAAAAUCACACCUGCAUGACUAGGAAUCUGCUAUGGAUUAGAGCUGGGUCCUGGACACCUGCAAAGGAAGUGCCCUCUGUGGACUCCCCUGGACCCAUCAGCUGGACCAUUCCCUAAGGUGUCUCUGCCUGUUCCUCAUGGCUCACACCCAGGUGCAGAAAUGUGCGCCCAACCCUAGCCACGCUCAGGUAACAUCAGGUAUGAUAUACAUGUAGUUUUAAAAAAGCAGUAACUUCCCCUUAAUAAAUACACCUCAUGAGGCCUGGCAUUUUGCACAUAACAUUUUAAAGAUAGAAGAAAAUAAAAGUAGUCUCAACCUCAGUCUACAUCAAUGAGCACUUGCUUUGUGUCAGGUUCUCUCCAGAGAUUUAUACUGAUUAUUUUAUUCAAGCACAAAAAGCACCUUUGAAUUAGAUACUAUCAUUAUUAUGCCCAUCUCAUAGAUUAGAAGACAGAAGUCCAUAUCAAAUGCUCUUGACUUGAUAAUAUUCAACUAUGAUUCUAUUUACUGGGUACACGCUAUUUGUGGAUUACUUAAAUAAGUCAUAUUGAGUAAGUGAAAAAAAGACUGAGGAAUAAAUUAAAACACAUUUCUCUGAAAUUGAAUUUGAAUUAUAUGAGCUGAAAAUAAAACUUUCAGUAUCAACUUUGUUACAUUGCCUGUGGGCUUUUAGGCUACAAUGAAACCUCAUCUUUUCCCAAACUUCAUGGUCAGUCACACUUCCAUUUAAGCACAAAAGAAAGUAUAAAGUCACAAUAUAUAAAGUUCUUUUUUGGCACUGGAAGCAAGACAUGCCCAUCAGCAGUUUGCCAACCUGUAUGAGGAUUAUCAUUAACUGGCCAUCAAAGGUCAUCAACACGGUCAUGACCAUUCCAAUUCCAGGCUUUGAAAAGUACCAGGGCAAGCAGGAGUAAGGUAGAAAAAUGUUUCCACCCACUGUUGCCACUUCUGUCAUAAGUCUGGCCCAUCAUUCAGCAGGCUAGCAGUCAUCUCCUUUACUGAGACAGAGGUACUCAUGGCAACUGAAGCCACCCCUUUAUCCUCAGUUUUCACCCAACUCCUCUUCAAUAGCACUUCUUUCCCUGAAUCAGUGUCAGAUAAUACAAAUUGUAGUAUUAUUAUUCCAAGAGUGAAAUAGGACAGGUAAUGGGGCCAUUGUUACCAGUUCAUGAAGUCUGAAAAAGAGAGAAAAAUAUCUGAAGAUUGUAGUUUUCAGGCUCAAGAAAUACCACUUCCUCCAAAUGAUCAGGAACCCAUUCAUUUAUUGAGCAUUACUGAGGCCCCCCUACAUGCAAGACGUUCUUCUAGGCACUGAGGAUACAGUCAAGGACAAAGUCUUCCCUUUGGGGAGCCUGCAUUCUGCUGGUGGGGGGAGACAACACACAGACAAUUUAAAAAGCAAGAGAGUGACAAGAAUUACCCAGAAAAUGGAAAGAGGGUGAUGGGAUAGAGUGAAAAAAUAGCUCCUUAUGAUGAAGAGAAAAACUGAGGACCUAGAGCUGGAUAUUUUUUUUUUGAAACAGAAUCUUGCUCUUUGCCCAAGCUCUAGUGCAGUGAUGCAAUCUCAGCUCACAGCAUCCUCUGCCACCCGGGUUCAAGCGAUUCCCCUGCCUCAGCCUCCUGAGUAGCUGGGACUGCAGGUGCCACCAGACCCAGCUAAUUUUUCUGUAUUUUAGUAGAGACAGGGUUUCACCAUAUUGGCCAGGAUUAUCUUGAUCUCCUGACCUCAUGAUCCACCUGCCUCGGCUGGGAUUACAGGUGUGAACCACCACUCCCAGCCUGAGCUGGAUAAAUAUUUUAGACUUGAUACCAAAAGCAUGACCCAUAAAAAUUUUGAUAAAUCAGAAUUCAUCAAAAUUGAAAACCUAGGUUCUGUGAAAGACUAUCUUAAGAGGAUGAAAUAAUAAAAUACAAACCAGUAGAAAAGACAGUCAUUCCUGGGAGACAUUGCAGGUUCUGUUCUGGACUACCACAAGAUAAGCAAAUAGGGAAAUAAAGCCAGUUAUGUAAGUUUUUUGGUUUUCCAGUGCACACAGAAGUUGUGUUACACAUAUUACAGUCUAUUAAGUGUGCGAUUGCAUUGCCUCUAAAACAAAAUUCCUUAAUUUUUAAAUACCAUACUGCUAGCUAGCUGCCAUGACUCAUGCCUGUAAAUGUCACUUUAGGGGUUAAGAUGGGAAGAUCACUUGAGCCUAGGAGUUCAAGACAGCUUGGGCAACAUAGUGAGACCCAGUCUCUACCAAAGAAAACAAAAGUUUCUUAAAUUAGCUGAGUGUGGUGGCAAGCGCCUGUAGUACCAGCUACUCAAGAAGCUGAGGUGGGAGGAUCACUUUAGCCCAGGAGUUAGAGGCUGGUGUGAUCUAGCCUCUGCACUAGACCCUGGGUGACACAGCAAGAUUGAGCCACUGCACUGGAGUCUGGGUGACAGAGCGAGACCCUGUCCAUAAAAAAAUUAAAUAAAUAAAAUAUUGCUAACAAAUGCUAUGGAAAAGCUGAGCCUUCAGUGAGUCCUACAUAAUCUCCUUGCGGCUUUGAUGAUGACGGCUGCCAAGGGUGAUGGUUGCUAAGUAGCUGGCCAUUUCUGAAAAUAAAAUAUCAGUGAAGUUUGAUAGACUGACUCUUCUUUUCAUGAAGCUUCUCUGCAGCAUGGAGUGCUGUUUGAUAUUUUACCUGCCAUAGAAACUACUUUCAAAAUCAUCUGAAAUCCUUCUGUGGCUUUGUCAAGUUUCUGUGCUAUUCUGAGUCCUUUUUGUCAUUUCAACCAUGUGCACAGCAUCUCACCAGGAGUAGGUUCCUUCUGAAGUAGUCACUUUCUCUGCUCAUCCGUAAGAAGCAACUCCUCAUCUAUUCAAUUUCAAUCCUGAGGAUGCAGCAAUGCAAUCCCAUCUUCAGGCCUCACCUCUCAUUCUAAUGCUCUUCCUAUUUCCACCACAUCCACAGUUACUUCCCCCACAGAAGUCCUGAACCUCUCAAAGUCACCCAUAAAGGUUGGAAUCCACUUCUUCCAAACUCCUGUGCAUGGGAUAUUUUGACCUCAUCCCAUGGAUCACACAUGUGCUAGAUGUCUAAUUACAUCUAGAAUGGUGAUCCUUUUCUAGGAGGUUUUGAAUUUACUCUGCCUAAACCCAUCAGAGGAAUCAAUAUCUGUGGCAGCUGUAGCCAUAUAAAAUGUAUUUCUUAAUGAGAAUUGGAAGCCAGAAUUACUUCUUGACCCUUGGGCUGCAGAAUGAAUGUCAUGUUAGCAGACGUGGAAAUGACAUUCAUCUCCUUGUACAUCUCCAUCAGAGCUCUUGGGUGAUGAGGUGCAUUGUCAAUGAGCAGGAACAUUUUGAAACGAAGCUUUAUUCCUGAGCAGUAGGUCUCACAGUGGGCUUGAAGUGUUCAGCAAAUCAUGCUGUAAGUAAUGUACUGCCAUCCAGGCUUUGUUUUUCCAUUUAUAUUUUCAUUUGUAUUUGUUAAAAUAAACAAGAUUUCUUUCACCAUCUUGUCCAGGAUGGUCUCGAUAUCCUGACCUGAGGUGAUGUACCCGGCUCAGGUUCCCAAUUGGUGGGGGAUUAAAAGCAUCAGAUACCAAGCAGGGCUAUUUGUUUAUUGAUUUAUUUAUCUAUCUAGUAAUCGAUUUAUUUAGGGGUAGACUCACCAUUAUUUAUUUAUUUCCUGAUGUACUUAUUCAUGGAGAAGCAGGUCACAUUUAUUUAUUUAUUAUUUAUUUAUUUGGAGGCAGGCUUGGAUUUAUGAAUUUAUCUAGCUAUCUAAUUAUUUAGAGGUAGGCUCACAUUUAUUCAUUUAUUUAUUGAGACCCAGGAUCGCAACAUUUAUUUAUAUACUUACAUAUUUGUGUGCCAGCUUGCAUUUAUUUAUUUCCUUAACCAUCUGUAUAAUGAUUUAUAGGCAGGCUCACGUUUAUUUAUUUAUUUAUUUUUUAGAAGGAGUCUUCCUCUGUCACCAGGCUGGAGUGCAGAGGCAAAAUCUUUGCUCACUGCAACCUAUGUCUCCUUGGUCAACUGAUUCUUCCGCCUCAGCCUCCGGAGUAGCUGAGACCACAGGCCUGUGCCACCACUCCUGGCUAAUAUUUUUAUAUUUUUUUCUUUUUUUUUCUUUCUUUUAUCUUUUUCUUCAUGCAGUGCAAGAAAGGAAUAUUUUUGUAUUUUCAUUAGAGACAGGAUUUCACCAUCUUGACCACCAUGGUCUCGAUCUCUUGACCUCCGGAUCUGCCCAUCUCGGCCUCCCAAAGUGCUGGGAUUACAGGCCUGAGCCACCGUGCCUGGCCUUUAGGUAUUGACUGACUUUUUUUAUAGUAAAACAGAGUCUUUAUUAUGUAGUUAGAGUAGUAAGUUAGGAUGCAUCCCCUGACUUCUAGGGGAUACUUCAUGGAAGAGCUGGAGAGAGACUCCCAUCUAGUAAGUACAUCUCUCUUCUUUUUGUAAAUGUAGAAAUUGAGGCCCCAAAGUUCACAUUACUAUUGACUGAAGUGGGGUUUGAACUCCCAGCUCACGAUUGACCCUCACCUGCUUGCUUCUCCUUGCCCUUUGGAAGCUUUGGUGCUGAACCAGACUCCCAUCUAUAAGCUCACAUGGUCAAAUGGAGCUGAAAUUGGUUGUACUUGGAGAGGUGGCAGAAUAUCAUUAAUGAGGCUAUAGAGUGGGUCAUAAAUGCCAGGCUGCUUCUUUGCAGUCACCCAGUCUCUGUAGCCACUGGGGCUUAUUGACUCUAAGCCAUGAUUUUUUUUGACAUGAAGUUGACGACCUUUUGGAAGAUUUAAUCAGCUGCUCUUCCAGGAAAGAUGGCUUAAUAUGCCAAAUAUUAAACUUACUGUGUCUUAGAAUCACAAAAUUUCAAAAUGGAAAGUAUUAGGUUUUCUAGGCCAACAUUCUUGCUUUAUAUAUUUGGGAUGAGAUAACAGUUUCCUCAAAUUUCUAGUGGCCUCUAUUUGAAGUUUGAUAGGUGGCUAGCCUGUUAGUUGUUUACCUGUUUUAUUGUUCCUGAUGUCUUUAACUGAAUACUGGGCAUGUUGCACUCUUCUGCAAACUAAACUAGGGCAAUGGUGUUGAUGUCUACUGAUCUGAUCAGUGGUUUGGGAUAAUUUUACUCUUUCCAUUGAUAAAUUCUACUUCAGAGUAGCCUUUUAGAAAGGAUGAAAAGCUCUAAAUUUCCUCCAUUGCUUUUUUAUGUGAUACUAGAGAGGAAUGAUACAUCUUCCUGGUACAGUGGAAAGCUACAUCUAGGUUGGUCAUAAUUUUUACAGUAACUCUUCUUCCUUCACACAGGGCUAGUCUUCUCAGUGCUUAAAUCUAGGUGUCAGGUCUCAUUCCUGUGUAUGUAUGUAUUUUAUUUUAUUUCUUUUUUUCAGACAAGGCCUGGCUCUGUCACCCAGGCCAGAGUGUAGUGGUACUCACUGCAUUCUCUGACUCCUGGGCUCAACCCAUCCUCUCACCUCAGCCUACUGAGUAGCUGGGACUACAGGCAAGUGCCACCAUGCCCAGCUAAUUUUUGUAUUUUCUAUAGAGCCAGGGUUUUGUCAUGUCACUCAGACUGGUCUGAGCUCAAGCAGUCCUCCCACCUCAGCCUUCCAAAGUGCUGGGAUUACAGGUGACAGCCACCACACCUGGCCUUCUGUAUUUCUUAAGAUCUCAAAUUCUGGAGGCACAUGAAAUAUGCUCAUUGAUAUUCCAUUUUGGCAGUGAAUUUGAUAGGCAUGACAAAUUUGGUUGUGCAUUAAAAUAUAGUGACUUUUCCGAUUGUGAAAGUAAUUCCUCUUUUAAUUUUUAUUAUUGUUUAUUUUUUUAUUGCAUUUUAGGUUUUGGGGUACCUGUGAAGAACAUGCAAGAUUGUUGCAUAGGUACACACAUGGCAGUGUGAAUUGCUGCCUUCCUCCCCUUCACCUAUAUGUGGCAUUCCUCCCCAUGCUAUCUCUCCCCAACUCCCCACCCCCCUCUGUCCCUCCCCAUUUCCCCCCAACAGACCCCGGUGUGUGAUGCCUCCCUCCCGGUGUCCACGUGUUCUCAUUGCUCAACACUCACCUAUGAGUGAGAACAUGCAGUGUUUGAUUUUCUGUUCUUGUGUCAGUAUGCUGAGAAUGAUGGUUUCCAGGUUCAUCCAUGUACCUACAAAGGGCAUGAACUCAUCAUUUUUGAUGGCUGCAUAAUAUUCCAUGGUGUAUAUGUGCCACAUUUUCCCUGUCCAGUCUAUCAUCGAUGGGCAUUUGGGUUGGUUCCAGGUCUUUGCUAUUGUAAACAGUGCUGCAAUGAACAUUCGUGUGCAUGUGUCCUUAUAGUAGAAUGAUUUAUGAUCCUUUGGCUAUAUACCCAGUAAUGGGAUUGGUGGGUCAAAUGGAAUUUCUAUUUCUAGGUCCUUGAGGAAUUGCCACACUGUCUUCCACAAUGGUUGAACUAAUUUACACUCCCACCAACAGUGUAAAAGUGUUCCUAUUUCUCCACAUCCUCUCCAGCAUCUGUUGUCUCCAGAUUUUUUAAUGAUCGCCAUUCUAACUGGCAUGAGAUGAUAUCUCAAUGUAGUUUUGAUUUGCAUUUCUCUAAUGACCAAUGAUGAUGAGUAUUUUUUCGUAUGUUUGUUGGCUUCAUGUAUGUCUUCUUUUGUAAAGUGUCUGUUCAUAUCCUUUGCCCACUUUUAAAUGGGCUUGUUUGUUUUUUCCUUGUAAAUUGUUUUAGUUCUUUGUAGAUUCUGGAUAUAGGCCCUUUGUCAGAUGGGUAAACUGCAAAAAUUUUUUCCCAUUCUGUUGAUGGCUGAUUCACUCUAAUGAUUGUUUCUUUUGCUGUGCAGAAGCUGUGGAGUUCAAUUAGGUCCCAUUUGUCUAUUUUCGCUUUUGUUGCCAAUGCUUUUGGUGUUUUGGUCAUGAAGUCCUUGCCUACGCCUAUGUCCUGAAUGGUUUUGCCUAGAUUUUCUUCUAGGGUUUUUAUGGUGCCAGGUCUUAUGUUUAAGUCUUUAAUCCAACUGGAGUUAAUUUUAGUGUAAGGUAUCAGGAAGGGGGCCAGUUUCUGCUUUCUGCACAAAGCUAACCAGUUUUCCCAACACCAUUUAUUAAACAGGGAAUCCUUUCCCCAUUGCUUGUUUUCAUCAGGUUUGUCGAAGAUCAAAUGGUUGUAGAUGUAUUGUGCUGCCUCUGAGGCCUCUGUUCUGUUCCAUUGGUCUAUAUCUCUGUUUUGGUACCAAUACCAUGCUGUUUUGAUUACUUUAGCCUUGUAGUGUAGUUUGAAGUCUGGUAGUGUGAUGCCUCCUGUUGUGUUCUUUUUGCUUAGAAUUUACUUGGCUAUGUGGGCUCUCUUUUGGUUCCAUAUGAAGUUUAAGGUGGUUUUUUCCAGUUCUGUGAAGAAGGUCAUUGGUAGCUUGAUGGGGAUAGGGUUGAAUCUGUAAAUUACGUUGGGCAGUAUGGCCGUUGUCACAAUACUGAUUCUUCCUAAUCAUGAACAUGGAAUGUUUCUCCAUCUGUUUGUGUCCUCUCUUAUUUCAUUGAGCAGUGGCUUCUAGUUCUCCUUGAAGAGGUCCUUUACAUUCCUUGUUAGUUGUAUUUCUAGGUAUUUUAUUCUCUUUGUAGCAAUUGUGAAUGGCAGUUCGUUCUUGAUUUGGAUUUCUUUAAGUCUGUUAUUGGUGUAUAGGAAUGCUUGUGAUUUUUGCACAUUGAUUUUGUAUCCUGAGACGUUGCUUAUCAGUUUCAGGAGAUUUUGGGCUGAGACGAUGGGGUCUUAUAGAUAUACUAUCAUGUCAUCUGCAAAUAGAGACAAUUUGGCUUCCACCUUUUCUAUUUGAAUACCCUUUAUUUCUUUUUCUUGCCUGAUUGCUCUGUCUAGAACUUCCAGUACUAUAUUGAAUAGGAGUGGUGAGAGAGGGCAUCCUUGUCUAGUGCCAGAUUUCAAAGGGAAUGCUUCCAGUUUUUGCCCAUUCAGUAUGAUAUUGGCUGUUGGUUUGUCAUAAAUAGCUUUUAUUAUUUUGAGAUACAUUCCAUUAAUACCCAGUUUAUUGAGGGUUUUAGCAUAAAGAGCUGUUGAAUUUUGUCAAAGGCCUUCUCUGCAGCAAUUGAGAUAAUAAUGAGGCUUUUGUCUUUCAUUCUGUUUAUGUGGUGAAUUACGUUUAUAGACUUGCAUAUGUUGAACCAGCCUUGCAUCCGCAGGAUGAAUCCUACUUAUCAUGGUGGAUAAGCAUUUUGAUGUCCUGUUACAAUCAACUUGCCAGUAUUUUAUUGACGACUUUUACAUCUAUGUUCACCAUGGAUAUUGGCCUGAAGUUUUCUUUUCUUCCUGAGUCUCUGCCGGGUUUUGGUAUCAGGAUGAUGUUGGUCUCAUAAAAUGAUUUGGGAAGGAUUCCCUCUUUUUAAAUUGUUUGGAAUAGUUUCCGAAGGAAUGGUACCAGCUCCUCUUUGUAUGCCUAGUAGAAUUUGGCUGUGACCCAUAUGGACCUGGGCUUUUCUUGGGUGGUAGGCUCUUAAUUGCUGCCUCAACUUCAGACCUUGUUAUUGGUUUAUUCAGAGUUUUGACUUCUUCCUGGUUUAGACUUUGGAGGGUGCAAGUGUCCAGGAAUUUAUCCAUUUCAUCCAGGUUUACUAGUUUAUUUGCAUAGAGUUGUUUGUAACAAUCUCUGAUGAUGGUUUGUAUUUCUGUGGAAUGUGUGGUGAUAUCCCCUUUAUCGUUUUUUAUUGCAUCUAUUUGAUUAUUCUUUCUUUUCUUUUUUAUUAAUCUGGCUAGUGGUCUGUCUAUUUUGUUGAUAUUUUCAAAAAACCAUCUCCUGGAUUUAUUGAUUUUUUGAAGGAUUUUUGUGUCCCUGUCUCCUUCAGUUCUGCUCUGAUCUUAGUUAUUUCUUGUCUUCUGCUAGGUUUUGAGUUUUUUUUAUCUUGCUACUCUAGCUCUUUCAAUUUUGACGAUCAAGUGUUGAUAUUAGAUCUCUCCUUGCUUUUCCUGUGGGCAUUUAUUGCUAUAUAUUUUCCUCUAGAGACUGUUUUAAAUGUGUCCCAGAGAUGCUGGUUUGUUUUGUCUUCAUUCUUGUUGGUUUUGAAGAACAUCUUUAUUUCUGCCUUCAUUUCAUUGUUUAUCCAGUAAACAUUCAAGAGCCAGUUGUUCAGUUUCCAUGAACCUGUGCAGUUCUGAGUUAGUUCUGAAUUCUGAGUUCUAACUUGAUUGCACUGUGGUCUGAGAGACUGUUAUGAUUUCCAUUCUUUUGCAUUUGCUGAGAAGUGAUUUACUUCCAAUUAUGUGGUCAAUUUUAGAGUAGGUGUGAUGUGGUGCUGAGAAGAACGUAUAUUCUGUGGAUUUGUGGUGGAGGGUUCUGUAAAUGUCUAUUAGCUUUGCUUGGUCCAGCUCUGAGUUCAAAUCCUGGAUAUCCUUGUUAAUUUUCUGUCUGGUUGAUCUCAUAAAAUGAUUGGGAAGGAUUGUCUAAUAUUGACAAUGGGGUGUUAAAGUCUCCCACUAUUAUUGUGUGGGAGUCUAAGUCUCUGUAAGUCAUUAAGAACUUGCCUUAUGUAUCUGGGUGCUCCUUUAUUGGGUGCAUAUAUAGUUAGGAUUGUUAGCUCUUCUUGUUGCAUUGAUCCUUUUACCAUUAUGCAAUGUCCUUCUUUGUCUCUUUUGAUCUUUGCUGCUUUAAAGUCUAUUUUAUCAGAGAUGAGAAUUGCAGCUCCUGCUUUUUGUUUUCUCUUCAUUUGCUUAGUCAAUCUUCCUCCAUCUCUUUAUUUUGAGCCUUUAUGUAUCCUUGCAUGUGAGAUGGGUUUCCUGGAUACGGCACACUGAUCGGUUUUGGCUUUUUAUCCAAUUUGCCAGUCUGUGUCUUUUGAUUGGUGCAUUUAGCCCGUUUACAUUUAGGGUUAAUAUUUUUAUGUGUAAAUCUGAUCCUGCCAUUUUGAUGCUAUCUGGCUGUUUGGCAGCUGAUGCAGUUUUUAGUUGAUGCAGUUUCUUCAUCGUGUUUAUGCUCUUUACCAUUUGGUAUGUUUUUGGAGUAGCUGGUACUGGUUGUUCCUUUCUAUGUGUAGUGCCUCUCAGGAGCUCUUGUAAAGGAGGUCUGGUGGUGAUGAAAUCUCUGAGUACUUGCUUGUUCUCAAAGGAUUUUAUUUUUCCUUCACUUAUGAAGCUCAGUUUGGCUGGAUAUGAAAUUCUGCAUUGAAAGUUCUUUUCUUCAAGGAUGUUGAAUAUUGGCCCCCACUCUCUUCUGACUUGUAGGGUUUCUGCUGAGAGAUUUGCUGUGAGUCUGAUGGGCUUCCCUUUGUGGGUAACCUGACCUUUCUCUCUGGCUGCCCUUAGCAUUUUAUCCUUCAUUUCAAAACUGGUGAAUCUGACAAUUAUGUGCCUUGAGGUUGCUCUUCUUGAGGAAUAUCUUUGUGGUGUUCUCUGUAUUUCCUGGACUUCAAUAUUGGCCUGCCUUGCUAGGUUGGGGAAGUUUUCCUGGAUAAUAUCCUGAAGAGUAUUUUCCAGCUUGGAUUUAUUCCCUCCGUCACAUUCAACUACACCUAUCAAACGUAGAUUAGGUCUUUUCACAUAGUCCAAUAUUUCUAGGAGACUUUGUUCAUUUCUUUUUUUUUUUUUAAUUUUUUUAUUGCAUUUUAGGUUUGGGGGUACAUGUGCAGAACAUGCAAGACAGUUGCAUAGGUAUACACAUGGCAGUGUGUUUUGCUUCCUUUCUCCCCUUCACUCACAUUUGGCAUUUCUCCCCAGGCUAUCCCUCCCCACCUCCCCCUCCCACUGGCUCUCCCCUUUUCCUCCCAAUAGACCCCAGUGUUUAGUACUCCCCUCCCUGUGUCCAUGUGUUCUCAUUUUUCAUCACCCGCCUAUGAGUGAGAAUAUGCGGUGUUUCAUUUUCUGUUCUUCUGUCAGUUUGCUGAGAAUGAUGUUCUCCAGAAUCAUCCAUGUCCCUACAAAUGACACAAACUCAUCAUUUCUGAUCUUUUUGCGCUUUUUUCUUUAAUCUUGCCUUCUCACUUUAUUUCAUUGAGUUGAUCUUCGACCUCUGAUAUCCUUUCUUCUGCUUGGUCAAUUCGGCCUUUGAAACUUAUGUAUGCUUCAUGAAGUUUUUGUAUUAUGUUUUUCAACUCUAUCAAUUCACUUAUAUUCCUCUCUACGUUGUCUAUUCCCAUUAGCAUUUCAUCAAAUCUUUUUUCAAGGUUCUAAGUUUUUUUGCAUUGGGUUAGAACAUGUUCUUUUAGCUCACUGAAGUUUCUUAUUAGCCACCUUCUGAAGCCUGAUUCUGUCAAUUCAUCACACUCAUUCUCCAUCCAACCUUCUUUCCUUGCUGGUGAGGAGUUGUGAUCACUUGUAGGAGGAGAGGUGUUCUGGUUUCGGGUGUUUUCACUUUUUUCGUGCUGGUUUCUUCACAUCUUUGUGGACUUAUCCCCCUGUCAUCUUUGUAGUUGUUGACUUUCGGAUUGGGUCUCUGAGUGGACGUCCAGUUUGUUGAUGAUGAAGUUAUUUCUUUGUGUUUCUUAGUUUUCCUUCUAAUAGUCUGGCCCCUCUGCUGUAGGACUACUGAGGUCCACUCCAGGCCCUGCUUGCCUGGGGAUCAACUGCAGUGGCUACAGAACAGUAAGGGUUGCUGCCACUUUUUUCUUCCACUAUCUUUGUCCGAGAAUGAUACCCACCAAAUGUCAGUCUGAGCUCUCCUUUAUAAGGUGACUCUUUGGAUAUACACAGGUCAGGAAGCUGCUUGAGGAGACAGUCUGUCCUUUAUAGGAGCUCAAGUGCUGAGCUAUGAGCUCCAUUGUUCAUUCAGAGCUACUGGGCAGGUACAUUUAAGUCUGCUGCAGCAGAAUUCAUAAACCCCUUUUUUUCCCAGGUGUUCUGUCCCAGGGAGUUAGGGCUUUAUUUAUGAGUUUCUGUUGUGCUGCUGCCUUCUUUUCAGGGCUUCCCUGCCCAGCGAGGAGGCAGCUUAGUCACUGUCUGCCUGCAGAGGCUUUGCUGAGCUGCUGUGGGCUCUGUCCAGCUGGCAUGUGUACUUCCCUGCAGUCCUGUUUAUACGGGUAUAGUUAGAACUGCCUCAGCAAUGGUGGCCCACCUCUGUAAUGGUGGACUCUCUCUGUCAUGGUGGGUUGCCUUGGCAACAACAGGCUGCCUCAGCAAUGGUAGACUACCUCUGUAGUGGUGGAGUCCCUUGGUAAUGGCAGACACCCUUCCUCCACAAAGCUGGACCUUCCUGGGUUCAGCUGUGCUUGCUGUGAAACUCUCAACCCAGAGCAUUUCUAAUUGCUGUUUUUUUCUGGGGGUGGUACCAGCUGAGCCUGAUCACCUGGCUCCCUGCCUCAGAGCCUUUUUUUUUUUAAGUUGAAAGUUUGGCUCUCUCCCAGGUGUUCCAGUCAUCUGUUGAAAAGGUGCUGGGAUCUCUGAUUUCCCAUGCAGCAACCCACUGCAUUGGCUGAAACAGUGACACUGAGAUUUGUGGCGCUUUUUUGCCCAGGAAUCUCCUGGCAUGGCUCCCUGUUUCAGUCACCUUUUUAAUUAGAUGAAUGGGUGACUCUGCCUUCCCAGAGCUCCAGUUGCCAGCUAAAAUAGUGCCCAGACCCGUAUUUUGUAUGGAGAACCGCAGCCCUGGGGUGCCAGCAGAACAGCCAUGCCAGCCAAACCAGCUGCACUGGCAACCCGUGGGGCUCCUCCAACUGGGAAUCUCCUGGUCUGUGGGCAAUAAAAAUCCAUCUGGAAAUGUGGUGUCCUCUCACCCUCUGUGCUUUCACUGGGAGCUGCAAUCCUGAGCUGCUCCUAAUCAGCCAUCUUGGAUCCCUCCUUUAGAAUGUUUCUUAAUUCUUCCUUUUCUUCCUCAGGCUUGAAUCAAAUAGUUUUAAAAAGUAUUUUUAAAAAUAUAGAGACACUUUUCUA